rnacentral:rRNA from 1 species
UACGUAGGGGGCGAGCGUUGUCCGAAGUUACUGGGCGUAAAGAGCGCGUAGGCUGGUCUUUAAGUGAGUGGUGAAAGGUUCGGGCUCAACCCGGACACUGCCUUUCAUACUGGGGACCUUGAGUGUGGGAGAGGCGAGUGGAAUGGUCGGUGUAGCGGUGAAAUGCGUAGAUAUCGAUCGGAACACCCAUGGCGAAGGCAGCUCGCUGGCCUAACACUGACGCUGAGGCGCGAAAGCUAGGGGAGCAAACAGG